rnacentral:rRNA from 1 species
AACGUAGGUACCGAGCGUUAUCCGGAUUUACUGGGCGUAAAGCGUGUUCAGGCGGCCUGGCAAGUCGGGCAUGAAAUCUCUCGGCUCAACCGAGAGAGGCUGUCCGAUACUGCUGGGCUUGAGGACGGUAGAGGGUGGUGGAAUUCCGCGUGUAGUGGUGAAAUGCGUAGAUAUGCGGAGGAACACCAGUGGCGAAGGCGGCCACCUAGACCGUCCCUGACGCUCAUGCACGAAAGCGUGGGGAGCAAACAGG